CAGUCGCCGCGGUAAAACGAAGGGUGCAAGCGUUAAUCGGAAUUACUGGGCGUAAAGCGUGCGCGGGCGGUUUGUUAAGACAGAUGUGAAAUCCCCGGGCUCAACCUGGGAACUGCAUUUGUGACUGGCAAGCUAGAGUGUGGCAGAGGGGGGUGGAAUUCCGCGUGUAGCAGUGAAAUGCGUAGAUAUGCGGAGGAACACCGAUGGCGAAGGCAGCCCCCUGGGCCAACACUGACGCUCAUGCACGAAAGCGUGGGGAGCAAACAGGAUUAGAUACCCAGUAGUCCCUGUCUCUUAUACC
rnacentral:rRNA from 1 species